GCCGCUUUAGCUCAGUUGGUAGAGCAACCGCCUUGUAAGUGGUAGGUCGCCGGUUCAAGUCCGGCACGCGGCUCCA
rnacentral:tRNA from 1 species